AAAAAGCAGAAAAAAAGGGCUCGAUCGGGACACGACAAGCCCGAACAUCGGACGAAAUCCGAAAUAUCCCAGCCUUUAUGUAGUUGUACUAAAGUGAUCCACCCUCAGUCGCUAGUAUAGGUAACUAAAAAACAGAAGAAAAAAUUGAAGAGUGUACCCUCCUCCUUCAAGAUCCAUCACGUUUAUUUUUCUUUUGUUAAUGUUAGAGGGCACUUCAAAAAAGAAUUUUUUGUUAGAUGGCACUUUUGUAUCCUUGCACCCUUUGUUAUUUAUAUGUUUAUUCAUUCUUCUUCUUCUGAGUCAGUGGACUACAUUGCACAGACCUCAACCUCUUUUGAAUGAUUUUCUAGAACGAUGAUAGUCCCUUUUUCCUUUUCUUCUGCUUUCUUUCUUCAUUUACCUGGAAAAUAAGUUAAGUCUCCUCAUAUUGGACACUUUGUACAUUUAUCUGCACUUCGCGCGGUAAGUAAGUAGAUUUAGAAAUAACCUUUUAAUCACAUAAAUUUAGAUAAAAAGAGAUAAAAUAUUUCUAUGCUUGGAGCCAAAACUUUUUUCCUCUACUUACACAAAGCACAAAAAGAAAUAGAACUAUCCACUAAUUAAGCUGAUACCAUAGAAAUUGAUCAAAAGAAAAAGAAAAGUGUUUUUUCCUUUUGGAUUGAAUGUCACUCCUAUCAAUAAAUAUAUGUUAGAUCCUAUUUUGAUAUUAUUCUUUUCACUGAACCAUGUUAUAUAUUUAACAUUUAGCUAAGGUUUUAAGUAAGGUGAUUAUUCUAAACAGAACCAGUAAUCAAACCUCUUUCCAGGUAAGAUGAUUAUUCUAAACAGAACCAGUAAUCAAACCUCUUUCCAUAAUGGUUAACUCUUGAAUAUGGAAGAAACGAAAGGGUAAACGAAUUUUAAAUCUUUUCCACAAUUAACUUACACAGUUUAGUUUUAAAGAUAGUAGUGUAACAAAGUUUAGAUUUAAUUCUAAGAAAUGGCGAUCUUUGGUUAGAGCCAGGACUCUUUUUUCCCACUAACAAAUGGUACAAAAAACAAAAAGAAUUAUCACAAGAGUUCUUGAAAAGUUAAACAUAAAUUAAAAGGGUGCAUAUAAAAUUCGAUUUAUCUGCUUCUACCUGUGGCCUUUGAUGCACUAUGAUAUAUGGUAUAAUCUCAAAUAUCUCGCUUCAGAAUAGUUGUUAAGAUUAUGUUAAUCCUAUUAACAAAAGAGAAAAGGAAACCAUUUUGUUUAAAUGAAGAGAAACAACAACAAUACAAUAGAAUAGAACAAUAACACUUAUUUCUAUGAUACUAUAAGUAUUUAAAUCAGAAAAUUACCGUUGAAUUGCUUAUCAUGAAUAACAUAAUACUGAGCGAAUUUACAGAAAGUAAUAAAAUACUUCUAGUUCAAUCACUUUUGUAGGAGAACAAUUUAAAGGUAGAAGACCUUUAAAUGUAAGAAGGAAAGAGAAUUUGUUUAGUUGAUAAAUGAAGAAAUUGAGGUAGUUUGGAAUGUUUAAUAUAUGUACCUAUAUGGAGAGAGACUUUUGUAAUUCUUCAACUUUUAUUACACAAGGGAUCACUUUGGUACNNNN
rnacentral:lncRNA from 1 species